rnacentral:rRNA from 1 species
UAGUCAUAUGCUUGUCUCAAAGAUUAAGCCAUGCAUGUCUAAGUGUAAGCAAUUAUACGGGGACCCGGCAAAGGGUUCAUUAAAUCAUUUAUCGUUUAUUUGAUAGCACCUUACUACUUGGAUAUCCGUGGUAAUUCUAGAGCUAAUACAUGCUUAAAAUCCCAACCUCGGGAAGGGAUGUAUUUAUUAUAUAAAAAAGAUGUGUCUUCUGACUCUUUGAGGAUUCAUAAUAACUUUUCAAAUCACGUGGUCUUGCGCUGGACAUGGCUCAUUCAUAUUUCUGCCCUAUCCUCUUUCUAGGGCAGGAUAGGGCCCUACCGUGGAUUCCACGGAUAACGGAGAAGAAGGGCUCUAUUCCAGAGAGGGAGCCUGAAAAGCGGCUACCACCUCCAGAGAAGGCAGCGGGCGCGCAAAUUACCCUGUCCCCACGCGGAGAGGUAGUGACAAUAUAUCACUAUACGGGCCCCUUAUGGGUCUUGUGAUUGGAAUGAGUACUAUGUCACUACCUUAGCAACGAACGAUUGGAGGGCAUGUCUGGCACUCACUAAUGAACUCGCGCCCGCCUGCAGGUCGAC